CAUCUCUUGGUAAAAGCAGCAUUGGCAUGGCGAGCUUACAUUCGUGGCUGUAAGAAGAACGGGCUGUGAACCCAGUGAUCUCCACGCUCUUGCCGAGCCAAGGACGUGAAGUUUUGCAGUGUGCGAAAUUCCUCUGCAUUGCAGGUAUGGGGAAUGGGCAGAUUAAACAUGGCCUGCAUAUUUAAUGGUAACAAGACUUAGUGAUCCAUCCAAAAGAAUGAUGAGGAUAAAAA
rnacentral:lncRNA from 1 species